rnacentral:misc_RNA from 1 species
GAUGAAGAACGUAGUGAAAUGCGAUAAGUAAUGUGAAUUGCAGAAUUCAGUGAAUCAUCGAAUCUUUGAACGCACAUUGCGCCCGCCAGUAUUCUGGCGGGCAUGCCUGUUCGAGCGUCAUUUCAACCAUCAAGCCCCCGGCUUGUGUUGGGGACCUGCGGCUGCCGCAGGCCCUGAAAACCAGUGGCGGGCUCGCUGUCACACCGAGCGGAGUAGAUUUUCAUCUCGCUCAGGGCGUGCUGCGGGUUCCGGCCGUAAAAAGCCUUAUUUACCCAAGGUUGACCUCGGAUCAGGUAGGAAGACCCGCUGAACUUAAGCAUAUCAAUAAGCGGAGGA